rnacentral:tRNA from 1 species
AGUGGGGUGGCCGAUAUAAGGCGUUAGAUUGUAAAUUUAACUAUGGAGCUCUCUCCCCUUACU